rnacentral:rRNA from 1 species
UACGAAGGGGGCUAGCGUUGCUCGGAAUUACUGGGCGUAAAGGGAGCGUAGGCGGACAGUUUAGUCAGAGGUGAAAGCCCAGGGCUCAACCUUGGAAUUGCCUUUGAUACUGACUGUCUUGAGUACGGGAGAGGUGAGUGGAAUUCCGAGUGUAGAGGUGAAAUUCGUAGAUAUUCGGAGGAACACCAGUGGCGAAGGCGGUUCUCUGGGCCUUACCUGACGCUGAGGAGGCGAAA